CACGAAGCUGGAAUCGCUAGUAAUCGCGAAUCAGAAUGUCGCGGUGAAUACGUUCCCGGGUCUUGUACACACCGCCCGUCACACCAUGGGAGUCGGGAAUGCCCGAAGUCAGUGACCCAACCUUUGGAGGGAGCUGCCGAAGGCAGGUCUGAUAACUGGGUGAAGUCGUAACAAGGUAAC
rnacentral:rRNA from 1 species